GACGAACGCUGGCGGCGUGCUUAACACAUGCAAGUCGAACGAAGAGCGAUGGAAGCUUGCUUCUAUCAAUCUUAGUGGCGGACGGGUGAGUAACGCGUAAUCAACCUGCCCUUCAGAGGGGGACAACAGUUGGAAACGACUGCUAAUACCGCAUACGAUCUAAUCUCGGCAUCGAGGAUAGAUGUAAGGUGGCCUCUACAUGUAAGCUAUCACUGAAGGAGGGGAUUGCGUCUGAUUAGCUAGUUGGAGGGGUAACGGCCCACCAAGGCGAUGAUCAGUAGCCGGUCUGAGAGGAUGAACGGCCACAUUGGGACUGAGACACGGCCCAGACUCCUACGGGAGGCAGCAGUGGGGAAUCUUCCGCAAUGGACGAAAGUCUGACGGAGCAACGCCGCGUGAGUGAUGACGGCCUUCGGGUUGUAAAGCUCUGUUAAUCGGGACGAAAGGCCUUCUUGCGAAUAGUGAGAAGGAUUGACGGUACCGGAAUAGAAAGCCACGGCUAACUACGUG
rnacentral:rRNA from 1 species